rnacentral:rRNA from 1 species
UGGAGCAACGCCGCGUGAGUGAAGAAGGCUUUCGGGUCGUAAAACUCUGUUGUUGGAGAAGAAUGGUCGGCAGAGUAACUGUUGUCGGCGUGACGGUAUCCAACCAGAAAGCCACGGCUAACUACGUGCCAGCAGCCGCGGUAAUACGUAGGUGGCAAGCGUUAUCCGGAUUUAUUGGGCGUAAAGCGAGCGCAGGCGGUUUUUUAAGUCUGAUGUGAAAGCCCUCGGCUUAACCGAGGAAGCGCAUCGGAAACUGGGAAACAUGUGUGGAGAAGAGGACAGUGGAACUCCAUGUGUAGCGGUGAAAUGCGUAGAUAUAUGGAAGAACACCAGUGGCGAAGGCGGCUGUCUGGUCUGUAACUGACGCUGAGGCUCGAAAGCAUGGGUAGCGAACAGGAUUAGAUACCCUGGUAGUCCAUGCCGUAAACGAUGAAUGCUAGGUGUUGGAGGGUUUCCGCCCAGUGCCGCAGCUAACGCAUUAAGCAUUCCGCCUGGGGAGUACGACCGCAAGGUUGAAACUCAAAGGAAUUGACGGGGGCCCGCACAAGCGGUGGAGCAUGUGGUUUAAUUCGAAGCAACGCCAAGAACCUUACCAGGUCUUGACAUCUUUUGAUCACCUGAGAGAUCAGGUUUCCCCUUCGGGGGCAAAAUGACAGGUGGUGCAUGGUUGUCGUCAGCUCGUGUCGAGAGAUGUUGGGUUAAGUCCCGCAACGAGCGCAACCCUUAUGACUAGUUGCCAGCAUUGAGUUGGGCACUCUAGUAAGACUGCCGGUGACAAACCGGAGGAAGGUGGGGAUGACGUCAAAUCAACAUGCCCCUUAUGACCUGGGCUACACACGUGCUACAAUGGAUGGUACAACGAGUUGCGAGACCGCGAGGUCAAGCAAAUCUCUUAAAGCCAUUCUCAGUUCGGACUGUAGGCUGCAACUCGCCUACACGAAGUCGGAAUCGCUAGUAAGCGGGGA